UACGUAGGGGGCAAGCGUUGUCCGGAUUUAUUGGGCGUAAAGCGCGUGUAGGCGGCUGGGUAGGUCCGCUGUGAAAACUUGAGGCUCAACCUCAAGAGGUCGGUGGAAACUUUCUGGCUAGAGUCCGGAAGAGGAGAAUGGAAUUCCUGGUGUAGCGGUGAAAUGCGCAGAUAUCAGGAAGAACACCCGUGGCGAAGGCGGUUCUCUGGGACGGUACUGACGCUGAGACGCGAAAGCGUGGGGAGCGAACAGG
rnacentral:rRNA from 1 species